AUCUUCGGACCUUGCGCUAAUAGAUGAGCCUAAGUCGGAUUAGCUAGUUGGUGGGGUAAAGGCCUACCAAGGCGACGAUCUGUAGCGGGUCUGAGAGGAUGAUCCGCCACACUGGGACUGAGACACGGCCCAGACUCCUACGGGAGGCAGCAGUGGGGAAUAUUGGACAAUGGGGGGAACCCUGAUCCAGCCAUGCCGCGUGUGUGAAGAAGGCCUUAUGGUUGUAAAGCACUUUAAGCGAGGAGGAGGCUACUGAGACUAAUACUCUUGGAUAGUGGACGUUACUCGCAGAAUAAGCACCGGCUAACUCUG
rnacentral:rRNA from 2 species